ensembl:lncRNA
UUCCCAACAGUAUAACGUAACUUCAAAAACGCUUUUGUAUUCCUCCCAUUCUAGAGUCCACACCUAGAGUUCUCAAAUGGUUUCUAUUUGAAAGAUGGAAAUGACAAAUAUUUUAUUUUAUACUCUACAUUAUGGUUUAUUAUUUUGCUACAUGAACAAAAACGUAUAAAUAUAUUGUAAGAGAUAAGAGGAUAAAGAGUGCCUUGUCUGGAUUCCUCAAUGUGUUUAUCCUUGAAAUAAGAGACAGAAAUAAAUCCAUCUGGGGUAUUGACGAAGAUUCCUUGCAGACAGCUAAAGAUAAUAAUGCUUUAAUUAAGGAGGUAUUAGGGAAUGUUCAACCUCAGCCGAACAUAAUUUAAAAUUACCUAAUCCUGAUAGGUACAUAAUUACCCAUUCCUGUGUGGACAAACCACAAAUCACACAAGAGGAAUGUACCAGACACGACUGCUUGUAGUUUUCUGCAGGUUGGAGUGUUUAGAAAGUCAUAAUCCAUUAGAGAAGAGGUUUAAUGCUAUGUUAAAGCAGCACUGAAUUCAACUACAUUGCUGUACCUUUAAUAUUCCGCCACAGGAACUCACAACAGAUCAAUGGCCGACAUCAUACUCAGCUCUCCUCUGUCCCAGGAAAACCAAAGCCCUCAUAACUCUCCACUUCUCUCUGGUCUGCGGGAACAUUGGCACUUCUUCCAGAAAAUGGCCCCAAAGGGAAUACAGAGAGGACAGAAGAGUAUAUCACCCAUGGAACCCUUCAAGGAGUAUGACCAGGUGUGUGAACUGACAACCAUGUGCAUCUGCGAGGAAGUGUUAAUGAAGUAUGAGGGAAUGGAAUUGAGCCCAGCCCACACUCCCACUGCUGAGGGUGAGCUGAUGCUGGCUGUCUGAUACCCUGUUUCUCUUGUCUCCUCCUGUCCCUUCAAGCCCUGUGUCUUGUGAAUCUCCUUAGUCUCCUGAAACUCCUUUGUCUCUGUUGGCUUUAAAGCUUAGAAUCUCCUGUGUACCCACCAAGUCUCACUCUCCCACCUCUUCUUUCAGAUCCUGCCUUUUUCUCGGCCUUGCCUCCUCUGGUUCCUGUCAGUCCAUCCUUAGUCAUCUCCAUCCAGGUGCUUUGAUUCACCUCGGGUCUUCAA